GUUCCACAGGAAACACCACAGGAAAAGUGAACGACAGCAACUUCAAGCAAGAGAUAGGCCUAAAUCUGAAAAAUCCUUGUUUUCAAGACUCUUCUCUAAUGCCGUAAUGGCAUCUUUUAAUAUGAAGGGGAGGGGGCAAAACGGCAAGAGGCCUUUCGGAAACACAAAAAUAUACAGAGCACUACAAGAUGGAGUUAUGAAGUUCGACCAAACUGCUACGGAGGACUCCAUUAGAACUUUCACCUCAGAACACCUUAAACACGCACCACAAAGAAGUGGAAAGUUCACUACUCCACAUAGUCACUGAU